rnacentral:lncRNA from 1 species
UAACACUAUGCACUUUGGCUGCUGUUUUUCUUUCUGGCUGACUGCAGACCAGUUGUUUCUGCCCCAUCUCAGCUGGCUGUCAAGAUGCGAAUUUGCAUAGGAUGGCAAUUUUCAUGGUGGGAAGGGGCAGCAUUUAAGUCGCUCUUGUUUUCAGAAAUGGAGAUGAAAAUAAAUUUAUAUUACCAGCUUUAUGAGCUCAGAAAUCUAGGUGAAGAUUACAAGUGAGUAAAUCCUUUAUGUUAUCAGCAUUCUUGGUUAAUAUUUUAACUGUAUAUUUGAGAUUAGCCUUUGGAUAACGUCUAUUAUAAGUUGAUAAUCAAAAGCACACUAAUUAAUAAUGAUUGAAUUCUACUUUUUCUGGUGAGUGAGUCAUG